rnacentral:rRNA from 1 species
GAGUUUGACCUGGCUCAGAUUGAACGCUGGCGGCAGGCCUAACACAUGCAAGUCGAGCGGCAGCACAAGGGAGUUUACUCCUGAGGUGGCGAGCGGCGGACGGGUGAGUAAUGCCUAGGGAUCUGCCCAGUCGAGGGGGAUAACAGUUGGAAACGACUGCUAAUACCGCAUACGCCCUACGGGGGAAAGGAGGGGACCUUCGGGCCUUCCGCGAUUGGAUGAACCUAGGUGGGAUUAGCUAGUUGGUGAGGUAAUGGCUCACCAAGGCGACGAUCCCUAGCUGUUCUGAGAGGAUGAUCAGCCACACUGGGACUGAGACACGGCCCAGACUCCUACGGGAGGCAGCAGUGGGGAAUAUUGCACAAUGGGCGCAAGCCUGAUGCAGCCAUGCCGCGUGUAUGAAGAAGGCCUUCGGGUUGUAAAGUACUUUCAGCGAGGAGGAAGGCGUUAAGGUUAAUAACCUUAGCGAUUGACGUUACUCGCAGAAGAAGCACCGGCUAACUCCGUGCC